AAAGGGAGGAGUCACUUGCAAGCUGUGUAGUGGGGGCUAUAUAAUCUGACAGUGAGCACAGCUCUGUUUGACAUUGAGGCUCUGGCACACAAAACUUACUGUAGUGUUGAUUAUUUCCAUUUUCAUUUUUUGUUUAUAUUUAACCAUUCUCUAUGAAGAAAUGUAUUUCUUUAAAACCCAGUCACCAUUUGUCUAUGCAAUGGAAAAAGAGAAAUUGCAGGAAUGCUGCUGGUCUAAAGCCUACUUGAAAUCAUUGGGUGCAAGGAAGGAGUGCCUUCUGGAGUGGGCACCAGUCCAUCACAUUCAGUGUUACAUUCAGUGUAUUAUCUUAUUGACUUCACUUGCGUAACAUUUGGUAGAACAUGUUUAGCAUUAAAAUAAAAGCUGACAAAAGA